GUGAGUCAUCGAAUCUUUGAACGCACAUUGCGCCCUGUGGUAUUCCGCAGGGCAUGCCUGUUCGAGCGUCAUUUCAACCCUCAAGCCCGGCUUGGUGUUGGGCCGCGCCUACCGUGGCCGGCCCUAAAGACAGUGGCGGCGCCGCCUGGCCCUCAGCGUAGUACAGCUCUCGCUCCAGGGACCGGCGGUAGCCUGCCAGAACCCCCCAACUCUGUGGUUGACCUCGGAUCAGGUAGGGAUACCCGCUGAACUUAAGCAUAUCAAUAAGCGGAGGA
rnacentral:misc_RNA from 1 species